rnacentral:rRNA from 1 species
AUGAACGCUGGCGGCGUGCCUAAUCCCUGCAAGUCGAGCGAACGGACGAGAAGCUUGCUUCUCUGAUGUUAGCGGCGGACGGGUGAGUAACACGUGGGUAACCUACCUAUAAGACUGGGAUAACUUCGGGAAACCGGAGCUAAUACCGGAUAAUAUUUUGAACCGCAUGGUUCAAAAGUGAAAGACGGUCUUGCUGUCACUUAUAGAUGGAUCCGCGCUGCAUUAGCUAGUUGGUAAGGUAACGGCUUACCAAGGCAACGAUGCAUAGCCGACCUGAGAGGGUGAUCGGCCACACUGGAACUGAGACACGGUCCAGACUCCUACGGGAGGCAGCAGUAGGGAAUCUUCCGCAAUGGGCGAAAGCCUGACGGAGCAACGCCGCGUGAGUGAUGAAGGUCUUCGGAUCGUAAAACUCUGUUAUUAGGGAAGAACAUAUGUGUAAGUAACUGUGCACAUCUUGACGGUACCUAAUCAGAAAGCCACGGCUAACUACGUG